rnacentral:rRNA from 1 species
GACGAACGCUGGCGGCGUGCUUAACACAUGCAAGUCGAACGGUAAGGCCCUUCGGGGUACACGAGUGGCGAACGGGUGAGUAACACGUGGGUGAUCUGCCCUGCACUUCGGGAUAAGCCUGGGAAACUGGGUCUAAUACCGGAUAGGACUCCGGACUGCAUGGUCUGGGGUGGAAAGCUUUUGCGGUGUGGGAUGGGCCCGCGGCCUAUCAGCUUGUUGGUGGGGUGAUGGCCUACCAAGGCGACGACGGGUAGCCGGCCUGGGAGGGUGUCCGGCCACACUGGGACUGAGAUACGGCCCAGACUCCUACGGGAGGCAGCAGUGGGGAAUAUUGCACAAUGGGCGCAAGCCUGAUGCAGCGACGCCGCGUGAGGGAUGACGGCCUUCGGGUUGUAAACCUCUUUCAGCACAGACGAAGCGCAAGUGACGGUAUGUGCAGAAGAAGGACCGGCCAACUACGUGCCAGCCGCCGCGGUAA